CCAAGUUUUUUCAUCAAAAUGUCGAUUGCACAAAUUGUAUUGUUUUUUCUAUUGGCUAUAAUAUAAUAUGUAUAACAAAUGCAUUUCAUUGGACGAGAGACCGAUUCGCUUUAUAUGGACGAACUUGCGAGACUGUGAAAUGCUCACCAUAUGAGCUAUGCGUACUAGCCGAAGAUGAAUGUUUGUAUUCUCAAACUCGACAAAUCAGUUGUGGAACAUAUCCAAUAUGUGGAAAAUUGUCCCUAACAGAUGAUUGUCCAUUUAUGACAGAUCCAUUCUGGGAGUUAAAUGGGAAAUAUUCGGUAGAAUUAAGGAUAGCAUGCCAUCAUCUAGCAGAGUACUUACAAAAUUCUAAAAACAAUGAAUCAGGAGAAGAAAAUGCCGCGU